rnacentral:lncRNA from 1 species
GACAAGCUGAUGGGACUAUGGGUUAUAGGUGACAAGCUGAUGGGACUAUGGGCUAUAGGUGACAAGCUGAUGGGACUAUGGGCUAUAGGUGACAAGCUGAUGGGACUAUGGGCUAUAGGUGACAAGCUGAUGGGACUAUGGGCUGUAGGUGACAAGCUGAUGGGACUAUGGGCUGUAGGUGACAAGCUGAUGGGACUAUGGACUAUAGGUGACAAGCUGAUGGGACUAUGGGCUGUAGGUGACAAGCUGAUGGGACUAUGGGUUAUAGGUGACAAGCUGAUGGGACUAUGGGCUAUAGGUGACAAGCUGAUGGGACUAUGGGCUAUAAGUGACAAGCUGAUGGGACUAUGGGCUAUAGGUGACAAGCUGAUGGGACUAUGGGCUAUAGGUGACAAGGUGAUGGGACUAUGGGCUAUAGGUGACAAGCUGAUGGGACUAUGGGUUAUAGGUGACAAGCUGAUGGGACUAUGGGCUAUAGGUGACAAGCUGAUGGGACUAUGGGC